GGGGGUGUCACGGUUUCGACUUGGGAAUGAAGUCUUGAUUGCAUGCAGAGGUUUAUCGGUUGGCCUCUUAAAAAGCCGAUAAAAACAUUAAUUGCCAACCCUAAAGUUGACAACAGUCUCAUGAACAAGUUUGCUAGCAAACCUGCUUGCAAACCUAUUCGUUUGGCUGCAGCAGCUUAAGACCUAAUAGUCUUUCGCUGUACGUCAGUCCAGAACUUGACCAAGGGUUUUGGAGUCUGCCGAUAAGGUACUUGGUGUGAUUUAUUCUUCCGUCAGCUUCUAGGUGGGAUAGGUCGAGAUUAAAUGAAGCUAGCUUACCUUAGUGGCGUGUUCUGCAUCGAGGUGAGUCUAUUUCAGAACACUAAGCAUGUAGUGGUCAUUAUGUAGUUUGCUAAGGACGAGAGUUCAAUUCUCUCCACCUCCAACC
rnacentral:tmRNA from 1 species